GGAAGUAAGAGUCGUAACAAGGUUUCCGUAGGUGAACCUGCGGAAGGACCAUUAUUGUAUAACCGAGGUGCGAGGGCUGUCGCUGACCCGAAAGGUCGUGCACGCCCGAGUGCCCUCACACACAUCCAUCUCACCCCUAUGUGCACCACCGCGUGGGUCCCCCUUUGGCUUGUUCGGAGGGGGGCUUACGUUUUCACACAAACUUUGUAUGCAGUGUAGAAUGUAUUUUUUGUUUUUGCGAUCACGCAAUCAAUACAACUUUCAACAACGGAUCUCUUGGCUCUC
rnacentral:misc_RNA from 1 species